UUAGUAACGCGUGGGAACGUGCCUUUCUCUAAGGAAUAGCCUCUGGAAACGGAGAGUAAUACCUUAUACGCCCUUCGGGGGAAAGAUUUAUCGGAGAAGGAUCGGCCCGCGUUAGAUUAGAUAGUUGGUGGGGUAACGGCCUACCAAGUCUACGAUCUAUAGCUGGUUUUAGAGGAUGAUCAGCAACACUGGGACUGAGACACGGCCCAGACUCCUACGGGAGGCAGCAGUGGGGAAUCUUGGACAAUGGGGGCAACCCUGAUCCAGCCAUGCCGCGUGAGUGAUGAAGGCCUUAGGGUCGUAAAGCUCUUUCGCCUGUGAAGAUAAUGACGGUAGCAGGUAAAGAAACCCCGGCUAACUCCGUGCCAGCAGCCGCGGUAAUACGGAGGGGGUUAGCGUUGUUCGGAAUUACUGGGCGUAAAGCGCACGUAGGCGGACCAGAAAGUUGGGGGUGAAAUCCCGGGGCUCAACCCCGGAACUGCCUCCAAAACUAUUGGUCUAGAGUUCGAGAGAGGUGAGUGGAAUUCCGAGUGUAGAGGUGAAAUUCGUAGAUAUUCGGAGGAACACCAGUGGCGAAGGCGGCUCACUGGCUCGAUACUGACGCUGAGGUGCGAAAGUGUGGGGAGCAAACAGGAUUAGAUACCCUGGAAGUCCACACCGUAAACGAUGAAUGCCAGUCGUCGGGUAGCAUGCUAUUCGUGACACACCUAACGGAUUAAGCAUUCCGCCUGGGGAGUACGGCC
rnacentral:rRNA from 1 species